rfam:Schistosoma curassoni strain Dakar, Senegal genome assembly, scaffold: SCTD_contig0007611
AUUCGGCUGAUGAGUCCCAAAUAGGACGAAACACGUGUCCUGGAU